AACGGCAGCGCGGGAGCAAUCCUGGCGGCGAGUGGCGAACGGGUGAGUAAUACAUCGGAACGUGCCCAAUCGUGGGGGAUAACGCAGCGAAAGCUGUGCUAAUACCGCAUACGAUCUACGGAUGAAAGCAGGGGACCGCAAGGCCUUGCGCGAAUGGAGCGGCCGAUGGCAGAUUAGGUAGUUGGUGAGGUAAAGGCUCACCAAGCCUUCGAUCUGUAGCUGGUCUGAGAGGACGACCAGCCACACUGGGACUGAGACACGGCCCAGACUCCUACGGGAGGCAGCAGUGGGGAAUUUUGGACAAUGGGCGCAAGCCUGAUCCAGCCAUGCCGCGUGCAGGAUGAAGGCCUUCGGGUUGUAAACUGCUUUUGUACGGAACGAAACGGCCUUUUCUAAUAAAGAGGGCUAAUGACGGUACCGUAAGAAUAAGCACCGGCUAACUACGUGCCAGCAGCCGCGGUAAUACGUAGGGUGCAAGCGUUAAUCGGAAUUACUGGGCGUAAAGCGUGCGCAGGCGGUGAUGUAAGACAGUUGUGAAAUCCCCGGGCUCAACCUGGGAACUGCAUCUGUGACUGCAUCGCUGGAGUACGGCAGAGGGGGAUGGAAUUCCGCGUGUAGCAGUGAAAUGCGUAGAUAUGCGGAGGAACACCGAUGGCGAAGGCAAUCCCCUGGGCCUGUACUGACGCUCAUGCACGAAAGCGU
rnacentral:rRNA from 2 species